AUCCUGCUGACGAGUCCCAAAUAGGAUUAAACGAGCUUCCUGGAU
rnacentral:hammerhead_ribozyme from 1 species